AUGGCGGAUGGUGAAUGCGAUGGUCGAGGUGGUGUGGUUUCGGAGCGGAACAAUGAUGGCGAUGAACAUAUCUCGAUUAUAAGUAUGCAUGGAUGGAUGAUGAUGAUGAUGGUUACUAAUGACAUGGGUGAUCAGUGAUGUGUAUUAUAGCCUGCAAGCUUAUAAGUUCAAAAGGUGAUGACGAUAUUAUUGUUUCAUGGGGGUUGGAUAUGAAGGUUGAACACUUGAACCCAUGUGUUUGCAAGUGAUCAAGUGCGUAAAAGGACCCGGUUGAUUGUUAUUGUUAAUUGUUAAUAUUUUAAUUAGGGAACUUGUGAUGGAUACUGUUGUGAAAAAAAAACGGAUAAUAAGGAGCAAUCAUCUAGAUAGGUGAAGUUAACAAGCUAGCUAGCUGGUACUUACCAUACAUCGAAACAAAAGCAAGAUAUUGAAGCAAGCAGCCUCACAAGCAUGUCAAAAAGUCAAAGAAGUAUCGUAUUAAAAGAAGCAAGCAUACAAGCAAGCUAGUGAAUUAAUUUAACCUAGUACAGAAGCAGCUCAAUUAAUUUAAGCUAGGAGGCUCGUGCUUGAGGACGAGUUUGCAGUACGGUUGGCUCGUGGAAUCUGGAAGCUUCACAACUAAUUGUCUUGCAGGUGUGUGAUUCAAGUCGGGGUUGCUCUUGGCUAGCGGAUGAGAUUACUCGUGUUAUGAUGGAAGGCAUUUGGUUUGUUAACGACAAAAAAAAAAUCCAUUUUUGUGUUUAAAUAAAUUAUGUACUAUUUUUAAUUGAAAAUUUCUGCUGCGUAUAUAAAUAAAGAGUUAUUUUAAUAUAG
rnacentral:lncRNA from 1 species